rnacentral:rRNA from 1 species
CGAGGGGCAGCAUGGUCUUAGCUUGCUAAGGCCGAUGGCGACCGGCGCACGGGUGAGUAACACGUAUCCAACCUGCCGUCUACUCUUGGACAGCCUUCUGAAAGGAAGAUUAAUACAAGAUGGCAUCAUGAGUCCGCAUGUUCACAUGAUUAAAGGUAUUCCGGUAGACGAUGGGGAUGCGUUCCAUUAGAUAGUAGGCGGGGUAACGGCCCACCUAGUCUUCGAUGGAUAGGGGUUCUGAGAGGAAGGUCCCCCACAUUGGAACUGAGACACGGUCCAAACUCCUACGGGAGGCAGCAGUGAGGAAUAUUGGUCAAUGGGCGAGAGCCUGAACCAGCCAAGUAGCGUGAAGGAUGACUGCCCUAUGGGUUGUAAACUUCUUUUAUAAAGGAAUAAAGUCGGGUAUGGAUACCCGUUUGCAUGUACUUUAUGAAUAAGGAUCGGCUAACUCCGUGCCAGCAGCCGCGGUAAUACGGAGGAUCCGAGCGUUAUCCGGAUUUAUUGGGUUUAAAGGGAGCGUAGAUGGAUGUUUAAGUCAGUUGUGAAAGUUUGCGGCUCAACCGUAAAAUUGCAGUUGAUACUGGAUAUCUUGAGUGCAGUUGAGGCAGGCGGAAUUCGUGGUGUAGCGGUGAAAUGCUUAGAUAUCACGAAGAACUCCGAUUGCGAAGGCAGCCUGCUAAGCUGCAACUGACAUUGAGGCUCGAAAGUGUGGGUAUCAAACAGGAUUAGAUACCCUGGUAGUCCACACGGUAAACGAUGAAUACUCGCUGUUUGCGAUAUACUGCAAGCGGCCAAGCGAAAGCGUUAAGUAUUCCACCUGGGGAGUACGCCGGCAACGGUGAAACUCAAAGGAAUUGACGGGGGCCCGCACAAGCGGAGGAACAUGUGGUUUAAUUCGAUGAUACGCGAGGAACCUUACCCGGGCUUAAAUUGCAGAUGAAUUACGGUGAAAGCCGUAAGCCGCAAGGCAUCU